UACAGGGGGGGCAAGCGUUGUUCGGAAUUACUGGGCGUAAAGGGUCUGUAGGUGGCCAACUAAGUCAGACGUGAAAUCCCUCAGCUUAACUGGGGAACUGCGUCUGAUACUGGAUGGCUUGAGUGUGGGAGAGGAAUGCGGAAUUCCAGGUGUAGCGGUGAAAUGCGUAGAUAUCUGGAGGAACACCCGUGGCGAAGGCGGCUCUCUGGGACGGUACUGACGCUGAGACACGAAAGCCAGGGGAGCAAACGGG
rnacentral:rRNA from 1 species